rnacentral:lncRNA from 1 species
AUGCUCUUUGCAGGGAAGGAAAACAAAAAAUCAGCCUUGAGGGCAACAGGAGGAAAGUCACAUUUGCCAGCAGACAGCACCCAACACUGGCAGAGGGAGAAACUGAGCCCUGGCAGCGUGGGGCAGGAUUUGCACAAAGUCUCCCAUUUGGAGCUGCUUGUCUCCGCAGUCCCAGGGCAGCGCCCAGCCCACAUCCCCCUUCUCAAAGCCCCAGGGAUUGAUGAGAAGCCCCUGCCACACCCGCAGGACAGAUGGAUGAAGGGGCUCAUAAAGGCAAAAAUGUCUAGAACCCACGAAAGUCAUAAAGCAGCCUUGAUGAGGAGAGAAGAAUGCUUGGAUGGAUCAGCAUGGAGUCAAGCAGACAAAGGCAAAAAGUGUUUUGUAGCAGGAAGAGCCCGAAACUGAGGAAUGAUGGAGGGGAGAAAGCAAAGCAUAAGCCCCAGAAUGCGGACUUCAGGGCAUGCUGAUUCUACUUACUGGGACAGGGAAGAGGGUAGGAAGGUCGCCAGGGCCCACAGGAUCAUGAGCCCUCCCUGCCAGGCCAGCUGUGGAAAAGUCACCACGGAUCCAGGAUCUUGAAAGGGUUGGAGACAACUGCUGAAUCUUUAUACAACGGGAAGACAAAGGAUUUCUUUACAAAGACCGGCAUAAUCAGAUACCGUUUUAGAAAAUGGGUGUUUGGUGAGCACGCGGGACCUGGGAGUGCACUGGUGAGAGACUGGAGGAUAAACCAGAAUCUAACAGUACCUAAGGAGCCAGCUCCCUCUCCCUAUCCCGAUUCCCCGGCCACUCCCAGGCUCAGGAAAAUGUCAUGAAACUAAAGCAGUUUGGAAAAGAGCAGGAAAGACCUCCCAGCUAGACCCAGCCCGCGCGCAGCUUGGCCCAAGCUCAGGCUCAUGAGGAGCAAGCACAUGGGCCUCGCGGCUGGCUGCGUUUGCUGGCCAAACCACAGGGCAAAUUUAAACGCGUCGGUUGUCACAACACAGCAGACCUGAGGGACAACGGCUUUCUUAAAAGUGGGGCUUGGGGCGCCUGGGUGGCUCAGUGGGUUAAGCCGCUGCCUUCGGCUCAGGUCAUGAUCUCAGGGUCCUGGGAUCGAGUCCCACAUCGGGCUCU